rnacentral:lncRNA from 1 species
AUUCACAAGGAAUUUGUGUUCCUAAGGUAGUUGUUUUUGUUUUUUGUUUUUUAUUUUUGAGACACAGUCUUACUCCAUAAUUCAGGCUGGAGUGCAGUGGCAUGAUGAUCACGGCUCACUACAGCCUCGACUUCACAGGCUCAGGUGAUUUUCCCACCUCAGCCUCCAGAGUAGCCGGGACCACGGGCACGCACCACCACACCCAGCUAAUUUUUUGUAUUUUUAGUAGAGGCAGGGUUUUGCCAUGUUGCCCAGGCUGGUCUCGAACUCCUGGGCUCAAGCAGUCUGCCCACCUCGGCCUCCCAAAGUGCUGGAUUACAGGCAUGAGCCGCUGUGCCCAGCCCAAGAUAAUUUUCAUACUCUUCAUAGGUAGCAGUUUCAUAGCCUUAGAAAUUCAGGCAGCAAGGUACUGUGAUUGGUGUAUAUGGACUUAUCUUUGGAGUAAAACAGGCACUCAUCAGAUAGUAGCUCUUGCUAAUUAGCACAUGGACUAUUGAAAUUCCUUCCUGUUAAUGCCAAUCAGUCAGAUUUUGCUACAGAACACAUUUUACAGAACUUUCUUUCUUUCUUUCUUUCUUUUUUGAGACGGAGUUUCACUCUUGUUCAGGCUGGAGUGCAAUGGUGUGAUCUCGACUCACCACAACCUCUGCCUCCUGGGUUCAAGCAAUUCUCCUGCCUCAGCCUCCCAAAUAACUGGGAUUACAGGCAUGUGCCACCAUGCCUGGCUAAUUUUGUAUUUUAAUAGAGAUGGAGUUUCCCCAUGUUGGUCAGGCUGGUUUUGAACUCCUGACUUCAGAUGAUCCGCCCACCUCGGCCUCCCAAAGUGCUGGGAUUACCAGCGUGAGCCACCGCGCCCAGCCUACAGGGCUUUCAUAUGGGAAAGUUAAUACUUUUCAGUCCUGUGGGUCUCUUUAAAGCAAUAAGAUGGCAUCCUUCAGUUUACUCAGUGGUUGCUCUUGCUUUUACGCUUACAUUUAAUGAGUUUUAAAAGUACAGUUAAAGUACUUCCCUGUAUUUGACAUCUGUGUCUCAGUACUCAAAUUUUCUUUUUUAUCAAAGGCAUUCUUUACAUCUGAAGUCUUACAUUUCUCCAUAUAUACUUCAGUCUUUUCUUUGAAGAGGUUUACUCCCUCUGCUGGCUCUAACUGUGAAAUGAAAGCACGUGUAAUCUAUAUAGUUCUGAUUACCAAUCUGAGGGAUUGCUUGCAUAUGAUGGUAUUGCCUUAGACUUUUUUCUAAAAUGUAAAAUUAAACUUUUGUUUGGCUCCCUCUGAUUCUGAAUAAUAAAAUUGCCCAAAAAUCUAAGAAAUAUUUUAUAUUCCUUUUGAGAACAAUAUGAAAUUCUAUGAAACUAACAGUGAUUUGAUAAUUAAGAAAUUCUGGCAUGCACAUUUACAAUAUGUAAUAGGUGCUCAAUAAAUAUUAGUUUCUUGAUUGCAGUCAUAUUUUUAUUGUACAUAGACAUUGUGUGUGUACUUCAUUGUAGGAGCAAUAAAUCACCCAUUCUGUUUAAUGAAGUCAUCUGUGUUUCUGUAGCACUUUCUCAAUGCCUUAUUAUACUUCCAGUAAUUAUUGAUGAACUUCAACAUUAUACUACAAUAAAUGUCUUCUCAUUUGCUGUACAGACAGCCAGAAAGUAUAAGUAAUUAGAAUUUGUUCUGCACUCUACUUUUAUCGUGAAAAAGUAAUUGAAAGUAAAUAAGAUAUUUAUUCAGAAAAGCCACUACCUGAAUGUGAGCAUAUCUGAACUAAUAAAAAUAGUAUAGUUAAUACAGAUAUAUAGCAAGAUGUCCUCACCAUCUACAUCUGUAAUAAUAUAUAGUGGUAAUUGACUCCCAUAAUGGUUAUACCAAAGCCCUGAAGGAUUCUUAACUUUUACUUUCAUUUUUAAUGCAAAACCAGGUUUUCAUAUAUUUUGCUUGCUUAAAGCAAGAUAUACUAGCUCUUAUUUUUCUUACUAAAUUACAUGCAUACAUAUAUUUCAAAUUUUAUUUUAGAUUAUUUGUGCUCAACCCCAUACGUUGUCAUAGAGUAGUGCUUUUCAACUCGUUUUCCAAGGAUCACUAAUUCUGUAGAAUGUUAAUAGAUGUUAUGUGAGGGGGAGAAAGUCAUUCAGCUUUGUAAAUGCUGAAUUAAAUAUUUCUUUUUGAACAAAGCUGGAGGCAUCAUGCUACCCAACUUCAAACUAUACUACAGGGCUACGGUAACCAAAACAUCAUGGCACUGGUACAAAAACAGACACAUAGACCAAUGGAACAGAAUAGAGAGCCCAGAAAUAAAACCGCACACCUACAACUGUCUGAUUUUUAACAAACCUAACAAAAACAAACAAUAAGGAAAGGAUUCCCUAUUCAAUAAACAGUGCUGGGAUAACUGGCUAGCCAUAUGCAGAAGAUUGAAACUGGACCCCUUCCUUAUAUACAAAAAUUAUCUCAAGGUGAAUUAAAGACUUAAAUGUAAAACCCAAAACUAUAAAAACCCACAAAGACAACCUAGGCAAUACCUUUCAGGACAUAGGCACAGGCAAAGAUUUCAUGACAAAGACUCCAAAAGCAAUUGCAACAGAAGCAAAAAUGGACAAACGGAAGUUAACUAAACUAAAGAGCUUCUGCACAGCAAAAGAAACUAUCAUGUUUCUUUUGAGUAAACAGCCUACAGAAUGGGAGAAAAUUUUUGCAAACUGUGCAUCCAACAAAGGUCUAAUAUGGAGCAUCUAUAAGAAACAUACAAAUUUACAAGG